rnacentral:misc_RNA from 1 species
UACUGGGAGAAGGCAAAGUUUCCCUUUCAUAUUAUUCCCAAGCUUGGUGCUCUGCAUAUUGCUGGUGGCACAAUCAAGGGUUAUGGGUGUCCUGGUUUGUCCAUCACUGCAAAUGCUGUUGCUAUGGCAGAAGUUGCUAGAGUUGAUGCGAGCUGUUCUACCUUCAUUUUGGUGCAUUCAUCUCUGGCAAUGCUUACCAUUG